ACGCUCGACACCUACUGGAGGCAGCAGUCGGGAAUAUUGCGCAAUGGAGGAAACUCUGACGCAGUGACGCCGCGUAUGGGAAGAAGGUUUUCGGAUUGUAAACCAUUUUAGACAAGGAAGAAACAAGACAGUACUUGUAGAAUAAGCUCCCGGCUAACUACGUGCUAGCAGCCGCGGUAAUCUGAGCGGGCUGGCAAGGC
rnacentral:rRNA from 1 species